AUUGAACGCUGGCGGCAGGCCUAACACAUGCAAGUCGAACGAGCGGCGGACGGGUGAGUAAUGUCUGGGAAACUGCCUGAUGGAGGGGGAUAACUACUGGAAACGGUAGCUAAUACCGCAUACCAUCAGAUGUGCCCAGAUGGGGUUAGCUUGUUGGUGGGGUAACGGCUCACCAGGGCGACUAUCCCUAGCUGGUCUGAGAGGAUGACCAGCCAAACUGGAACUGAGACACGUUCCAGACUCCUACGGGAGGCAGCAGUGGGGAAUAUUGCACAAUGGGCGCAAUCCUGAUGCAGCCAUGCCGCGUGUAUGAAGAAGGCCUUCGGGUUGUAAAGUACUUUCAGCGGGGAGGCGUUACCCGCAGAAGAAGCACCGGCUAACUCCGUGCCAGCAGCCGCGGUAAUAC
rnacentral:rRNA from 1 species